AUUGAACGCUGGCGGCAGGCCUAACACAUGCAAGUCGAGCGGAUGAAGGGAGCUUGCUCCUGGAUUCAGCGGCGGACGGGUGAGUAAUGCCUAGGAAUCUGCCUGGUAGUGGGGGAUAACGUCCGGAAACGGGCGCUAAUACCGCAUACGUCCUGAGGGAGAAAGUGGGGGAUCUUCGGACCUCACGCUAUCAGAUGAGCCUAGGUCGGAUUAGCUAGUUGGUGGGGUAAAGGCCUACCAAGGCGACGAUCCGUAACUGGUCUGAGAGGAUGAUCAGUCACACUGGAACUGAGACACGUGCCAGCACCCUAGGGGAGGCAGCGGUGGGAAAUAUUGAACAAGGGGCGAAAGCCUGAUCCAGCCAUGCCGGGUGGGUGAAGAAGGGCUUCGGUUUGUAAAGCACUUUAAGUGGGGAGAAAGGGAAGAAAGUUAAAACCUUGCUUUUUUGACGUUACCAAAAAAAUAAGCCCCGGCUAAUUUCGU
rnacentral:rRNA from 1 species